rnacentral:rRNA from 1 species
UACGAAGGGGGCUAGCGUUGCUCGGAAUCACUGGGCGUAAAGGGCGCGUAGGCGGCGUUUUAAGUCGGGGGUGAAAGCCUGUGGCUCAACCACAGAAUGGCCCUCGAUACUGGGACGCUUGAGUAUGGUAGAGGUUGGUGGAACUGCGAGUGUAGAGGUGAAAUUCGUAGAUAUUCGCAAGAACACCGGUGGCGAAGGCGGCCAAACUGGACCAUUACUGACGCUGAGGCGCGAAAGCGUGGGGAGCAAACAGG